UGCGAGUCGAGCGGUAACAUUUCUAGCUUGCUAGAAGAUGACGAGCGGCGGACGGGUGAGUAAUGCUUGGGAAUAUGCCUUAUGGUGGGGGACAACAGUUGGAAACGACUGCUAAUACCGCAUAACGUCUACGGACCAAAGGGGGGGAUCUUCGGACCUCCCGCCAUUUGAUUAGCCCAAGUGAGAUUAGCUAGUUGGUGAGGUAAUGGCUCACCAAGGCGACGAUCUCUAGCUGGUUUGAGAGGAUGAUCAGCCACACUGGGACUGAGACACGGCCCAGACUCCUACGGGAGGCAGCAGUGGGGAAUAUUGCACAAUGGGCGAAAGCCUGAUGCAGCCAUGCCGCGUGUGUGAAGAAGGCCUUCGGGUUGUAAAGCACUUUCAGUUGUGAGGAAAGGUGGGUAGUUAAUAGCUGCUCACUGUGACGUUAGCAACAGAAGAAGCACCGGCUAACUUCGUGCCAGCAGCCGCGGUAAUACGAGGGGUGCAAGCGUUAAUCGGAAUUACUGGGCGUAAAGCGUUCGUAGGCGGUCUAUUAAGCAAGAUGUGAAAGCCCAGGGCUCAACCUUGGAACUGCAUUUUGAACUGGUAGACUAGAGUACUGUAGAGGGUGGUGGAAUUUCCAGUGUAGCGGUGAAAUGCGUAGAGAUUGGAAGGAACAUCAGUGGCGAAGGCGGCCACCUGGACAGAUACUGACGCUGAGGAACGAAAGCGUGGGGAGCGAACAG
rnacentral:rRNA from 1 species